GACAGAGGCCCCAAGCGUUAGGCGGAAUCACUAGGCUUAAAGCGUGUGUAGGCGGACUUCUAAGUGCCUUGUGAAAUCCCACGGCUCAACCGUGGAACUGCUGGGCAUACUGGGAGUCUUGGGCCAUUCAGGGGCAACUGGAACAAGCGGUGGAGCGGUGAAAUGCGUAGAUAUCGCUUGGAACGCCGAAGGUGAAAACAGGUUGCUGGGGAUGUGCCGACGCUGAGACACGAAAGCCAGGGGAGCGAACGGG
rnacentral:rRNA from 1 species